rnacentral:lncRNA from 1 species
GGCUUCCGGGGGGCGGCGCGAACGGCAAUGGCGGUCUUCUCCCGACGGGAGAGGAGGCUCCGCUGAAAUCGGGUCGUCCGCUACGGCGAAGCGGAGACCCAACGAGGAAAACCCCAGGCAGCAAGAGCCUGGGGUCCUGAGGCUCGGCGGGCGCCACGAGCAGCCCUCCAACUGCAGAAGGAGCCUCGUAAGGGGCUCCGGAGCGUGGAGGGGGGUUGCGGUGCUGAGAGCCGUUUCACAGUCAGCGGAGUGAAGCCGCGCUGCUGCUGCCGGUGAGCGCUGAUCCCUUUUCCUGUCAAAAUUCGGACUUGGAAGAAAAACAACUUAUUCGUGAGUAAAGACUGAAUCACUUGGAAUUACAAAUUUUAAAUGAGAAGGUUUAAUUCGGCUUGAACUUGGCUGAAAGCGGAGAGACGUGGAAACAGGAAGUCCGUCUUCCGCAGCCAUUGAACUUG